GACGAACGCUGGCGGCGUGCCUAAUACAUGCAAGUCGAGCGCAGGAAAUCGACGGAACCCUUCGGGGGGAAGUCGACGGAAUGAGCGGCGGACGGGUGAGUAACACGUAAAGAACCUGCACUCAGGUCUGGGAUAACCACGAGAAAUCGGGGCUAAUACCGGAUGGCUCAUCGGCCCGAAUGGUCCGAGGAUGAAAGGCGCUUCGGCGUCGCCCUGGGAUUGCUUUGCGGUGCCUUAGCUAGUUGGGGGGGUAAUGGCCCACCAAGGCGACGAUGCAUAGCCGACCUGAGAGGGUGAUCGGCCACACUGGGACUGAGACACGGCCCAGACUCCUACGGGAGGCAGCAGUAGGGAAUCUUCCACAAUGGACGAAAGUCUGAUGGAGCAACGCCGCGUGAACGAUGAAGGCCUUCGGGUCGUAAAGUUCUGUUGUAAGGGAAGAACAAGUGCCGCAGGCAAUGGCGGCACCUUGACGGUACCUUGCGAGAAAGCCACGGCUAACUACGUGCCAGCCGCCGCCGUAAAAC
rnacentral:rRNA from 1 species